rnacentral:lncRNA from 1 species
UUGUUUGCUUCUAAUUCUUUGAUGUGGUACUGAUGGAUGGACAUCAACUUAAUGUUUUCUUUGUCUGGAGGACGGUUACUGUUUUUUUUUUGUUGACGACAAUUGACCAAGGCUGCUGUUUUGUUAAAAAAAUGUUAUGGUGUCUCAUACUCAUCUGAACUUUGAGGCUGUAGCAGAUCAAUUGAAUGGAUUUUUUUUUUUGGGUAAAUGGAAUGGAAUUGUAAUAAGUAAAACAGUGAUAAGUUGUGUCCAAUCUGCUCAUUUUCUUAUACUCAUCUGAAUUUCGAGGCUGUAGCAUAUCAAUUGAAU